CUCUUAGGUUCAAUUUCCACAAAGAAAACUCUUUGAAUUUAAACAACAGCAAGUGGAAAGAAGAAAAAAAGAGAGGAAACAAGAAAGACUGCUGGCAAAUCAAUAUAAUUUUGGAUGCAGAGACCUUUGUUCACGUGUUUAUCUGCUGACCUUCUCUCCACUAUUAUCCUAUGACCCUGCCACAUCCCCCUCUCCGAGAAACACCCAAGAAUGAUCAAUAAAUACUAAGGGAACUCAGAGGCCAGCGAGAUCCUCCGUCUGCUGAAUGCUGGUCCACUGGGCCCCCUUUUUUCUUUCUCUAUACUUUGUGUCUCUUUCUUCUCCAAGUCUCUCAUUCCACCUAACGAGAAACGCCCACAGGUGUGGAGGGGCAAACUACCCCUUCAUACAGAAUAUGUUAAAAACAGACUAGGCCUGCAGAAUA